CGGAUUGAAUGUGAUAGCUGCCUUAGAAAUAAGGAGGAAAGUCCGAACAUCAAAGGGAAAAUUCUCCUGAGAAAUCAGGACCUGCAAUAGCAGCGGGCCAGUGUCGCAGAAAACAUACCGUCCGUCUUCUGGCGGAUAAGGGUGAAAAGGCGAGGUAAGAGCUCACCACUCUGUUCAUUUUGAAUAUCAGAUUGAUACCUAUUUGGCAGAGGUUGGAUAAACCCGAAUUGAUGCAAGACCAAAUAUAGAAGGAAUCCGUAAGGAUGCGUAUCCCUUGACGCGUUUCACUAGUUGGAACACACUUCAGGGUAGGUCGCUUAAAUUAUCUGGUAACAGUUAAUUUAGAUAAAUAGCUAUCAUCUCAUUUUUGAGAUACAGAAUUUGGCUUACAAUUCAAUCCGGAUA
rnacentral:RNase_P_RNA from 1 species